AUGGCAAUAAUGAUUAUUUGAUUUCCCCAAAUGAUUGAUGCUCAAUAAACUGUGCACCCUUUUUUUCUUAUGAGAAUUUAAGUGACAAAUCGGAUCCAU